AAAACCAAGAUUUGCUUUAUUCGGUAUCAAAUGGCAGCUACGAGCAAAUAGAACAUCUUUCAGGAGUAUCAAUACCGUGACAUGAAUCGUAAAUGCAUAGAUGUGAGACGAUGGGGGAUAAGCUUCAUUGUCGACAGGGAAACAACCCAGAUCGCCAGCUAAGGCCUCUAAAUGAUCGCUCAGUGAUAAAGGAGGUAAGGGUGCAAAGACGGCCAGGAGGUUUUCCUAGAAGCAGCCACCCUUGAAAGAGUACGCCGCAUUUCGCUCAAAUGGUUGAAGGGAGAUAGUGCAUCAAGCUAUUCGCAAGGGCCAACUUGAUCCUCUUCCCAAGGGAUC
rnacentral:rRNA from 1 species